rnacentral:rRNA from 1 species
AGUGAACGCUGGCGGUAGGCCUAACACAUGCAAGUCGAACGGCAGCACAGUAAGAGCUUGCUCUUACGGGUGGCGAGUGGCGGACGGGUGAGGAAUACAUCGGAAUCUACUUUUUCGUGGGGGAUAACGUAGGGAAACUUACGCUAAUACCGCAUACGACCUACGGGUGAAAGCAGGGGAUCUUCGGACCUUGCGCGAUUGAAUGAGCCGAUGUCGGAUUAGCUAGUUGGCGGGGUAAAGGCCCACCAAGGCGACGAUCCGUAGCUGGACUGAGAGGAUGAUCAGCCACACUGGAACUGGGACACGGUCCAGACUCCUACGGGAGGCAGCAGUGGGGAAUAUUGGGCAAUGGGCGCAAGCAUGACACAGCCAUACCGCGUGGGUGAAGAAGGCCUUCGGGUUGUAAAGCCCUUUUGUUGGGAAAGAAAAGCAGCAGGUUAAUACCCCGCUGUUCCGACGGUACCCAAAGAAGAAGCACCGGCUAACUUCGUG